ACCGGCCGCGUAUGUGUUUAGUAGUAACUGUAGGCAAUUGGUAGCAGUCGUCGCAGACCACCGUUGCAUCCUCAACAUAAUAUUACUAAAUUUUUUACACCUACAAUAAUAUUAUUAUAAUAAAAUGUUUUAUUAUUAGCGUCAUUGUUAUUAGUAUUGCGGUGCAUAAAGCAUAUACAUACGUUAAUAUAAUAUAUUCUUUCUCAGAGAGCAAUGUAUUUUAGUCGUGUAACCAUGUCACUGUCAUCGUGGAUUCACGUCAUUAUAUGUCUCAUAUAUACCUGCAAUUUUACAGUUAUAGCUACAACUCCAGAAUAUUUGGGAUGUUUUUUGAAUGUAGAUUUAAAUAUUUCAAAUGGUUUAAAUAUAUCACUUGCCACUUUAACUCCUCAACAAUGUUCAGACGAAUGUCACGCAAACAAUUACACUUACGCCGCAAUUAAUAACGAACCAUUUUGUCGCUGCACAAAUAAUUACAUGUCUAAAUUGAUGAAGGAAAUGGACGACGAUUGCAAUGUCCCGUGUAUUGCUGCAGAAAACGAGUCAAAUGAAAUAUGCCAAACGCAUUUUAAAAUGUUCAAAACGCAUAAUUCAAGUAGAAUAGGCGAAGAAAAUUAUCCUCAAGCAAUCUAUCUCGGAUGCUACGAAGAAAGAAAAGGUGACGACAAUAACCGAUUACUGAAAUUUCCCCACGAAAGAUAUCCAGAUAACACUCCGCAAAAAUGUUCUGAAGAAUGUUUCAAAAUCGGAUUUCUCUACUCUGGAUCAACAAAUGCAGAACUUGAGGGAGCUGCUUGUUGGUGUGGUAAUCAAUAUCCCUCAAUAAAAUUCAAAAAAAGCGACACGAAAUGUAACUCUCUCUGUUCCGGCGACAAGACAAAAAAAUGUGGUGGUCUGUGGAGAUUGAGCAUUUAUUCCACGGGGAUCGUUGAUUAUCCACUCAAAAAAUCGGUUGGCUGUUACAAUUUGGUCGAUUUCAAUCGGUAUGAUAACAAAGUAUACACUUUAAAAGAAACCAUUGAUUCGCACAGGUGUUUUUAUAUUUGUAACGAGAGAGGAUUUAAAUACGUGGCAGUCAGCGAGGAUCAUUGCGAAUGCAGCGCUGAAAUACCGGGUACAAACCAACGAAAAAAUCAAGAAGAAUGUAAAAAAUGUUCUGGAGACGAAUCGGAAUAUUGCGGUGGUCCCAGCUCAAUAAGUAUCUACGAAAACGAUUGGUUGGGCAUAGUUACCGGAAAACUAUCGAAAACUCAUCUUGGAUGCUUUGAAAACAACUGGAUGUAUCCAGUGAUAAAUGGAUGGAAUAUAUCAUUUCCCAAAGAAAUUACCUCACAAAAAUGCGUUUCAAGUUGCUUCGCCCGAGGAUAUCCAAUCGUAGCACUAGUGUCUUCGACGGAGUGUCUGUGUAGUUUCGUAAGUCCGCCGAUCGAAGCCAAGUUAAAAGCCGGAGGACCGUAUUGCAACGUCCCGUGUUCGGGUGGCAAGGAAAACGAGUGCGGCGAUCACGAACAUUACAAUGUGUUCACCACCGGGCUGAAAACGCCCACAGUGCCGGGUAACCAUUACCUGGGUUGCUACAAAGAGACGGACGUGUACAGGACGUUCAAGAAAAACCAGACCGUCGAAAUCCUGUUCGUCAACACGCCAAACAUCUGCUCCAAGCAUUGCGACAGCGCGGGCUACGAAUAUUUCCAACUUUCCAGCAGAGACUCGUGUUUUUGCGGAAACAGUCAUCCGGCGGACGACGGCGCGGUACGGAUCGACGACAUCAAAUGUUCCACCCAGUGCUCGGGUGAUGCAAACAAAUAUUGCGGAGGAGUGUUUAAAAUCGCGGCGUUCCGUAUAGGUAAGGUUGCUGAAAGAAAAUAUAAUUGUUCUACGGAUUGUGAAUGUUAUUUUUUUCCGAAACAUAAUACAUCUAAGAUUGAUUGUUCAAAAAGAAAUCUUAGUGACCCUUCUACGAUUAUUCCUGAUUUAAAAACAACUUCGUCAUCCGUUGAUAUAAUUCUAAAAGACAAUUCGAUCGAAGUCUUACCUAAUUUAACAAGUUUUCAUAUCACUUCAUUGGAUGUUAGUAAUAACAAUAUAACAACAUUGGAUGCCGAUCUUUUACCUAAAAGCUUAAAAGUUUUGUUUGCCGAUAGUAAUAAGUUAACUACCCUGAACGAUAACGCAUUGAGAUUAAUGCAAAGUCUAGACGUCAUAAUGUUAUCGAACAACCCGUGGACGUGCGAAUGUGAUUUAUUGAACAACCUACUAAAAUAUAAAUCAAAGAUCGGAGAUUUGAAGAAAAUCACUUGCACGUCUUCCACAGAUCCGUUUGUCCACAUGGAUGAAUUUUGUGAGGAAUGGAAAAUCAAUUAUUUUUACCUCUUCAUCACCUUGGGUUUUGUUUUGUUUGUUUGCCUACUGUCCGUCUUAUUUAACUUGCAUAGGACUGCUUGGUUUUACAUGCGCAACGGGCAAUGCUAUUCUUGUAUACACAAUAUUUUAUUAUAACAUUUCAUAUUAGAUUAAUUGUUGAUAAAUAAUGUAAAUACAUUUAUAAGUAUGUAAUAACUAUCAGUUGUGGCUACUGACUACCCUAAAAGUAUAGUUGCUAAUAAGUAACAGGUAACUCACUUACCCACACAAAUAUGCAUUUCAUCUAUCAAAAAUAGUAUUAUUAAAAUUAAAAGUAUAAGUAGGUAGUUUACGACUGUAAUUUAUUAUGUUUUGUAGUUUUAUAUAAUCUUUGCUUAGUUUCAUGUAGAUAUUAAAUUUUGUCAUUAAGUAAAUAAUAUUUUAUAUUUUAUAUCAAUUCAUUUUUAAUUCAUAAGCAGAUAUAUCUAUAUUUAAACUAUUUAAUAAUAUUUAACUCAAUCUUGUAUUAGGUCUUAAUAGACAAAAUCAUUUGUAAAAAAUAAUUUUGGAUCAACAAUACCGAACAGGGCAGAUGGCAACACAACAACAAAAUGCUAAUAAUAUUUUGAUUGGUACCUAAAUAUUAAAAUAGUUAAAAAAAAAUUCUAGACGAACCAGAGUUUGUUCUAGCCGAAGAAGGUGUCCAUUAUUUAUUGCUAUUGCAGAAAUUGAAGAGCAAAGAUUAGAGCGAGACAGGAGAAACAUCCCUCAAGUGCCGAUUAAUAUGAUUAUAUGUAUUCAGUGGAACCCAGGCCAGAAAAUUGCUGAGUAAUAUGUUUAAGCAAUAUUAAUACUCAUCUACCAUGUUUGUAUUCCUUAUGAUCACAAAUGCCUGUGUCUAGAUUUUUCUAGUAAUAUGAUACAACAACGCUGUCCUAUUUGUAACAGGCCUAACAGGGUCGCAACAAUCAUCAUACAAAUAUUCUAAAAACUAAUGAUACUAAUAUUGUGUAAUAAACUGUAUAUACAUAAUUACAAAUAAUAAUUUAAAAUUAUACCAAACCUCCAAAAUAAUUUAUUUUAUAAGUGACUGUACAGAUCUACUAACUGAUUUUUUAAUUGGUUUUCAAACAAUGACCUUAGCUAACCUACUUAACUUAAGUUAAAUGUUUAAGCAAUAUUUUAUUUUUUUCAUAAAACUAAUAAUACACUUAAUUAUAAAUUAUAAUUUAUCAAAGUCUGAUCCCACAUAUUAUAUAUUUGAUCGGUGAUCUAGUUAUAUUAUUUAAAACAAAACUGAAGUUCGCUGAGCAUGUAAUGAAAAAAUAAAAUAAGCGAUCUUUAAUGCUUAGAUUCCUUUUA